GGGUUGAAAAAGGUGAUGCUGUGGUGAUCUACUUGCCGAUGCUCAUGGAGCUGCCUAUUGCAAUGCUUGCAUGCGCCCGCAUUGGUGCUGUUCACUCUGUCGUGUUUGCUGGCUUCUCUGCCGAUGCAAUAGCCCAGAGGAUCACUGACUGCAAGCCU
rnacentral:pre_miRNA from 1 species